CAUGCAAGUCGAACGAUGAUGCUGGUGCUUGCACUGGUGGAUUAGUGGCGAACGGGUGAGUAACACGUGAGUAACCUGCCCCUGACUUCGGGAUAAGCCCGGGAAACUGGGUCUAAUACCGGAUAUGACUUCCUGCUGCAUGGCAGGGGGUGGAAAGAUUUAUCGGUUGGGGAUGGACUCGCGGCCUAUCAGCUUGUUGGUGAGGUAAUGGCUCACCAAGGCGACGACGGGUAGCCGGCCUGAGAGGGUGACCGGCCACACUGGGACUGAGACACGGCCCAGACUCCUACGGGAGGCAGCAGUGGGGAAUAUUGCACAAUGGGCGAAAGCCUGAUGCAGCGACGCCGCGUGAGGGAUGACGGCCUUCGGGUUGUAAACCUCUUUCAGUAGGGAAGAAGCCCCUUUUUGGGGGUGACGGUACUUGCAAAAAAAGCGCCGGCUAACUACGUGCCAGCAGCCGCGGUAAUACGUAGGGCGCAAGCGUUAUCCGGAAUUAUUGGGCGUAAAGAGCUCGUAGGCGGUUUGUCGCGUCUGCCGUGAAAGUCCGAGGCUCAACCUCGGAUCUGCGGUGGGUACGGGCAGACUAGAGUGAUGURGGGGAGACUGGAAUUCCUGGUGUAGCGGUGAAAUGCGCAAAUAUCAGGAGGAACACCGAUGGCGAAGGCGGGUCUCUGGGCAUUUACUGACUCUGAGGAGCGAAAGCAUGGGGAGCGAACAGGAUUA
rnacentral:rRNA from 1 species